AACGCACGAGACCUGCGGACCUGCGGAGGGAUCAUUACUGAGUGUGACCCUCUAUUAGAGGGUGCCUCCCGUCCUUGCAGGCCCCUAGGGGCUUUUGACUUUGCUUCGGCGGUACCCCCGCCGGAACAACCCCAAGAAAAUCUCAAUCAAACUGUUCGUCCGAGGGCUUAUGAAUAAUAAUCAAAACUUUCAACAACGGAUCUCU
rnacentral:misc_RNA from 1 species